GGUUUGUUCAAGAAGGAUGAGGUUAAGGUUGAGGAAGUUGUGGAGGAGAAAGCUAAGGUGGAGGAAGAGAAGAAGGAGGAGGUGAAAGAGGAGGAGUGUGUGAAAGAGGAGGCUGAGAAAGUGGAGGAGAGUGUUGAGGUGAAAGAGGAGGCUGAGAAGGUGGAGGAGAAGGAGAAGGUGGUGGAAGGAGGAGAGGAGUCUUCGAAAAAGAGUGGUGAGAAGAAGGGGUUGAAUAAGUUGAAAUCGAAAAUUGGAGAGGCCUUUAAGGGUCAUGGUCUGUUUAAGAAAGAGGAGCCUAAAGUGGAGGAAGUUGUGGAAGAGAAAGCAAAGGUGGAGGAAGUUGUGGAAGAGAAAAAAGAUGAAGAGAAGAAGGAAGAGUGUGAGAAAGAAGUGGUGCAGGAGGAUGUUAAGGAGAAGGAGAGUGAGACGGUUGAGGAGAAGGAAAAGGUGGAAGAAGGAGAGGAAUCUUCGAAGAAGAGUGUUGAGAAGAAGGGGUUGAAUAAGUUCAAAUCAACAAUUCAAGAAGCCUUCAAGGGUCACAGUCUGU
rnacentral:lncRNA from 1 species